rnacentral:lncRNA from 1 species
AUGGAACUUAAUCUCAACAGUCACCUGAGUUGAAGAUAGAGUUUGAGGAGUCAUCCCAAUAUGGAUAGCAUUUGUUGUAAAUUAGAAGGUGGUAAAAACUUGCCUUUGGAAAAAAGUUUAAAAAUUGCAGUGAGACUUAUGAAUACUCUUCAACUUCACCUGUUGGAAUAAAGGUCUUUCUUGUAAUCAGGAGAUCCUGUUGACAUGAUAAAACAGAAAGAGUCAGAGAGGAUCAGAAAUAAAUGAAAUCUCUCACAACUAAACUGCUUAUGUGUUCAUCCUGUUGACUGAUUCUUUUCUGGAUUGUGCUCCUUGUGGGCAGAUGCCGGAUGCCUCCACAACAUGGCGGAUGAGUGGAGCAGGUUUGCACCCGGGAUCCAAACCUGUGAACCCCAGACCACCAAAGCCGAGUGUAUGGAACUUUAACCACUCGGCCACGGCACCGGCCCCCAUCCUUAUCUUUCACAUCACGCAAUUCAAUGGGCUAAAGUUAACUCAUAAAAUUUUUUAAAAAUUACUACUGGAGUCAAUUGAUGAUCUCUAUAACAUUUUUUCUUAGCCUUAGGGGGAUCUUUUAGGAAAUCUCUCUUGAAAUGAAGAGACAUUUAUUUGUUUUACCAAAUGUUUCCCUGUUUCAGAAAUUCAGUUUCACUUUCUUUUAUGUUUCUUAAAUUCAUUCAAUUAAGUUCAAU